rnacentral:rRNA from 1 species
UCCCCUAGUAACGGCGAGUGAAGCGGGAAUAGCCCAGCACCGAAUCCCUCUGGCAUUUGCUCCAGACGGGAACUGUGGUGUUUGGGAGGCAGGCUGCGUCGUCGUCUUUCGUCCGAGUCCUCCUGAUCGGGGCUUCACCCAGAGCGGGUGUCAGGCCUCUACGGUCAAGGGCGGCGGCGCUCUCGGUCUCCUAGGAGUCGGGUUGUUUGGGAAUGCAGCCCAAAGUGGGUGGUAAACUCCAUCUAAGGCUAAAUACCGACACGAGUCCGAUAGCGGACAAGUACCGUGAGGGAAAGUUUAAAAGAACUUUGAAGAGAGAGUU